GAGGUUGUGGCUCAGUGCAAGAGCGCUCCUCUACCAUGUGCGAGGCCCUGGGUUUGAUCCUCAGCACCACA
rnacentral:tRNA from 1 species